rnacentral:rRNA from 1 species
AGAGUUUGAUCCUAGCUCAGGAUGAACGCUAGCGGUGCGCCUAACACAUGCAAGUCGAGCGAGAAAUUUUAGUAGCUUGCUACUAAAAUGGAAAGCGGCAGACGGGUGAGUAACACGUUGGUAGCUGCCCCAUACUCAGGAAUAACCCAGAGAAAUCUGGGCUAAUGCCGGAUAGUCCCUACGGGGUAAAGAUUUAUCGGUAUGGGAGGCACCUGCGUCCUAUCAGCUUGUUGGUAAGGUAAAAGCUUACCAAGGCAUUGACGGGUAGCUGGUCUGAGAGGAUGAUCAGUCACAAUGGAACUGAGACACGGUCCAUACUCCUACGGGAGGCAGCAGUGAGGAAUCUUCCACAAUGGACGAAAGUCUGAUGGAGCGACACCGCGUGAAGGAUGAGGGUUUUAUUAUUGUAAACUUCUUUUCUGUGGGAGGAUAAUGACAGUACCACAGGAAUAAGGGACGGCUAACUACGUGCCAGCAGCCGCGGUAAUACGUAGGUCCCAAGCGUUAUCCGGAAUCACUGGGCGUAAAGCGUCUGUAGGUGGAUAUUUAAGUUGGGUAUGAAAGACCGGGGCUCAACCUCGCGUUUGUACUCAAAACUGAAUAUCUAGAAUCAGGAAGAGGUAAGCAGAAUUAUUGGAGUAGGGGUGCAAUCCGUAGAUACCAAUAAGAAUACCAAAAGCGAAGGCAGCUUACUGGGACUGUAUUGACACUGAGAGACGAAAGCGUGGGGAGCGAAAAGGAUUAGAUACCCUUGUAGUCCACGCCCUAAACGAUGAUAACUAAGUGUUAGAGUUUCGACUCUAGUGCUGUAGCUAACGCGUUAAGUUAUCCGCCUGAGUAGUACGAUCGCAAGAUUAAAACUCAAAGGAAUAGACGGGGACCCACACAAGCAGUGGAUCAUGUUGUUUAAUGCGAUAGUAAGCGGGGAAUCUUACCUAGGCUUGACAUCCCGAGAAGCUCAGAGAAAUUUGAGUGUGCCCGCAAGGGAACUUGGUGACAGGUGCUGCAUGGUUGUCGUCAGCUCGUGCCGUGAGGUGUUUGGUUAAGUCCAAUAACGAGCGCAACCCAUGGUGUUAGUUACUAUGUCUAACACGACUGCCUUAGUUAAUAAGGAGGAAGGUAUGGAUGACGUCAAAUCCGCAUGGCCUUUAUGUCUAGGGCUACAAACAUGAUACAAUGGUUGGUACAAAGAGUUAGCGAUACGGUAACGUGGAGCAAAUCUCAUAAAGCCAAUCUCAGUCCGGAUUGAGGUCUGAAACUCGACCUCAUGAAGUUGGAAUUGCUAGUAAUCGUGAAUCAGAACGUCACGGUGAAUAUGUUCCUGGGUCUUGUACUCACCGCCCGUCAAGGCAUGGGAGUUCUAGGUACCGGAAGAUCCUAAGGCAAUAUUAGGAUUCAUGGUAAAUGGAGCGACUGGGCUUAAGUCGAAACAAGGUA